AGUUUAGACCAUUCAGACCUUGACAGAAAAGCAGAGAAGCAGCCAAUCAAAACUUGCGCUGGUAGUAAGCAGUACAGAAAGCUGAAACCAGCGAACUACCAGCACGAGUUCUGGACCAAGUACAUACAUGUCGCAUUGCAAUAGAGGGAUUUAAAUUCAAUACACGUGCAACUCGUAAGAGUUAGCCAAUCAGAGCUGAGUGAACAUGAGAAACAUCAGUCAAGCUGUCCAUUUGUUAAAUUAAAUAAGCAAGAC